CUGCUCACGAGCAGACGUGGGAACAGAUGCGCCAAUUAAGUCCUCAUCAUGUCCUCUCCACCCUCCCUCAGGAGGGGCACACGUGUUGCUCGAAAAGAUGUUGAACUUGGGCAUAAGAGACAUCAUCGCCCGCCAUCGCCCAGGCCUCUUCACAAUGAGGGCUGGUGAAGGCUCAGAAUGGGACACUGGAGGUUUGGGCAAUUUCAAGACUUGUGCUGUUCACAUGGAGGUAAAAUGAGAGAAUUCCUGAAAAGCUGGCUGGAGAGGAGUUUUGGAGCUGAGCACUGUUCCAGUGGGGAAUAUGCACCAAGGAAAGGCCAUAUGAGGACAGCAGGAGAGAAGGUGGCUGUCUACAAGCCAGGAAAUGGCUCUCCCAGUCAACAAAUCUACCAGCACCUUGAUCUUGGACUUCCCAGCCUCUAGUACUGUGAGAAAUAAAUGUGUGUUGUUUAAGCCAA